rnacentral:misc_RNA from 1 species
GCAAAUGGAAAAGAAUCGAAUAAACAAGGAUGGUGAGCUUGUGAUUUCUUCGACAAAGACUAGAACCCAAAAGGGUAACGUUGAAGAUGCUUUAGCAAAGCUGCAGGCCAUCAUUGAUGCUGCUGCUUAUGUUCCUCCUCCUCCUUCAGAAGAGCAAAAGAAGAAAAUUGCCAAAAUGGCUGCUAUAGGGGAGCAGAAACGACUUAAAAGUAAGAAGGCUCUUUCAGACAAGAAGGCUUUUAGAAGAAGUAGGGACAGCUGG